AUGGUGAGGAUCCACUGUGAAAUAAAUGGAAAGGGUCUGCUCGCCAGGGUUCUUGCGGAGGUCGAGGAGCUCCACCUCCGCAUCGUCCACAACGAUGUGAUGCCGUUCACGGCGUCAACCGUGAUUAUUACCACCAUGGCAAAGGUGGAGGAGGGCUUUACCGUCAACACAGAGGAGAUAGUAGGAAGACUCAACUCUGCAUUGUACGAACAUAGCAGUGGCAACAACAAUUAUUAA
rnacentral:rRNA from 1 species